rnacentral:tRNA from 1 species
UGUUCUGUGGCUUAGUUGGUUAAAGCGCCAGACUAGCGACACGGUGACGUGGGUUCAAAUCCCCCCAAAGCAG